CACACUGUAAACGAUGUGCACUAGGUGCUGGGGCGGAUGCUUCAGUGCCGGAGCUAACGCGGUAAGUGCACCGCCUGGGGAGUAUGCUCGCAAGGGUGAAACUCAAAGGAAUUGACGGGGGCCCGCACAAGCGGUGGAGCAUGUGGUUUAAUUCGAUGGUACGCGAGGAACCUUACCUGGGUUUGACAUACAGUGGAAUGUGGUAGCGAUAUCACAGCCUAGCAAUAGGCCGCUGUACAGGUGC
rnacentral:rRNA from 1 species